UAAAAAUGUAAAAAAUAUAACUAAAAAAUUAGUAGUUAUGGUCUUUAAAUUUAAAAAAUUUGGCGGUAUUUUAGUCUAUUCAGAGGAACCUGUUCUAUAAUUGAUAAUCCACGAUUAGAAAUACUUAAUUUAAAAGUUUGUAUAUCGUUGUUUAAAUAAUUUUAUAAGAAAAAUAAUUAUUAAGGUAUUUAAUUAAAUAAAUAAUCAAAUCAAGGUGCAGUUUAUAUUUAAGAAGAAAUGGGUUACAAUAAAAAUUAUUUAUAUGAAUUAUAUUAUUAAAUUAAUAUAUAAAGGAGGAUUUGAUAGUAAAUAUAUAUAUAUAUAUAUAUUGAUUAUAGCUCUAUAAUAUGU
rnacentral:rRNA from 1 species